GAUGAACGCUAGCGGCAGGCCUAAUACAUGCAAGUCGAACGGUAGAUUUGGUAGCAAUACUGAAUUGAGAGUGACGUAAGGGUGCGUAACACGUAUGCAAUCUGCCCUCAACAGGAGUAUAGCUCGGGGAAACUCGGAUUAACCCUCCAUAAGAUCUUAGGGUGGCAUCACCUAGAGAUUAAAACUUCGGUGGUUGAGGAUGAGCAUGCGCAUGAUUAGUUAGUUGGAGGUGUAACGGACCCCCAAGACGAUGAUCAUUAGGGGAACUGAGAGGUUGAUCCCCCACACUGGCACUGAGAUACGGGCCAGACUCCUACGGGAGGCAGCAGUAGGGAAUAUUGGUCAAUGGGUGAGAGCCUGAACCAGCCAUGCCGCGUGCAGGAAGACGGCCUUCUGGGUUGUAAACUGCUUUUAUCUGGGGAUAAAAAGACCGUGCGCGGUUAAUUGAAGGUACCAGAUGAAUAAGCACCGGCUAACUACGUGCCAGCAG
rnacentral:rRNA from 1 species